GCUGCACCUCAGUGGAAGGAGCAGAGGCACGCACGGAGCGCGCGGUGGCUGUGAGGGGCAGGGCAGGGCAGGGCAGGGCACCCCCCGCUGGAGUUCAGGCCAGCUCCGUGCCGGCGGAGCGGAGAGACCCCAGGUGCGCAGAGCGAGGGGAGGGAAUUAGGCAACAAUAAGCAGCCGGCCAAGCCUCCACGCCACGGCAUCCGAGCAGCACCGAGGGCAGGCAGACGGUCCCAAGUGCAGAGCAGCCAGCAGCAGCGAUACUAUGGAGCAGGAGAAAUAUUUGCCCGAGCUGAUGGCAGAGAAGGACAGCCUGGACCCGUCCUUCGUUCACGCAAUGCGCCUCCUGGCUGAAGAAAUUGAAAAAUUUCAGGGUUCUGAUGGGAAAAAGGAAGAUGAAGAAAAGAAAUACCUUGAUGUCAUCAGCAACAAAAACAUAAAGCUGUCAGAAAGAGUACUGAUCCCUGUCAAACAGUAUCCCAAGUUCAAUUUUGUUGGGAAAUUGCUUGGACCAAGAGGAAACUCCUUGAAGAGGUUACAGGAGGAGACAGGUGCAAAAAUGUCUAUCCUGGGAAAAGGUUCCAUGAGGGAUAAAGCUAAGGAAGAAGAACUAAGGAAAAGUGGGGAAGCCAAAUAUUCACACUUGAGCGACGAGCUUCAUGUUCUAAUUGAAGUGUUUGCUCCACCUGGGGAAUCUUAUUCACGUAUGAGUCAUGCCUUGGAAGAGAUUAAAAAAUUCCUUGUUCCAGACUACAAUGAUGAAAUCCGUCAGGAGCAGUUGAGAGAAUUGUCGUACUUGAAUGGUUCUGAAGAUUCAGCACGUGGACGGGGCAUUCGUGGAAGAGGAAUCCGGGUACCACCUGCAGCUCCAUCAAGAGGACGUGGGGGUGCAAUUCCUCCUCCCCCACCUGGGCGAGGUGCCCAGACACCUAGAGGGACACCAGUGACACGUGGAGCACUCCCAGUUCCUCCUGUAGCUAGGGGCGUUCCAACCCCUCGAGCAAGGGGAACUCCAGCAGUCCCAGGCUACAGACCACCCCCUCCUCCAGCACCUGAGGCCUAUGAAGAAUAUGGAUAUGAUGAUGGAUAUGGGGGUGAAUAUGAUGACCCAAGCUACGAGGCAUAUGAUAACAGUUAUGCCACCCAAACACAGAGUGUGCCUGAAUAUUAUGAUUAUGGUCAUGGAACAAGUGAAGAUGCUUAUGACAGCUACGCACAAGAAGAAUGGGCCACAACCCGUUCCAGCCUAAAGGCACCACCUCCAAGGUCAGCCCGAGGGGGUUACAGGGAACACCCCUAUGGUAGAUAUUGAAGGUCUUCCUCAUCUGUGACCUCAACUCAAAGACAAUUAAUAGCCUGUGGUCUCCACAUAAACAGCAACAAGACAAGGACGCACAGGCAAUGGACAGCUAAGCAGCAGAUGUAUUAAGAAGUUUUCAGGAGACACAUAAGGAGGAUUCCAAUUGAUCAAGAUGAAAAGAGAGGAAAGAAAUCAGCUGGGUUUUUUUCAUACAAGGAAUCUAUAUGGCCAGUGCGCGUUACACCAGAAGCGUUUCACUAUUCAGUCUGAAGAACAAAAUGAGGUUAAUAAGACUGUAAUGUUGGAAGAAACGUUAUGACAAGCAAAUCAAAAUGCAGCAUUCUGAAAGGUCAAAAUGGGACAUUACAUCCUUAUUAUUCCAAGAAUACAUGAGUGUAAUACUAUGGCAAUAUUUUUCAGUGAAAAAAGAUUUUAAUCAAGAGCUGAAAAUGGAAAAACUUUAUUUCUUUUUUAUGACAAAGAUUAUAACAAGGCUGUGAAAUAAAGCUCUUCCUGUUGUAAUUUUCCAACUGUGGAUCCUACUUAUAUGUCAAAGACCUAAACUAUACCAAAGAGUUCAUACUUGUAUUAUGCAUUUUAUCUGUAUCUAUAGCUAUGUACAGUAGAUAUCAUUUAGAAUUCAAUAUUUUUGCUUCUGAAAUCACACAAUACCCAUUUUAGUUGACAGAUUGCAUAUCUGUUUUACAUUGGCUCCUUCCUUUUAAGGCAAAGGAAUUUACAGUGCAUCCACUAGCUUAGUAACAAACUGCUAAAUAUAUGAAACUCUCAUGAUCUGAUGUGUCAUCACACACAUUAAGCCUCUUCUUCUAGGACUACAGGUCUGAGGAAACAAAAGCUAAGCUAUAAGAAUUUGAAAUAGUACAUUUUUCAACACCUAAACACAACUUUAAGAUUCUUUUGGCCAAGACUAUUUCUACUUAUUGAGCAAAUGAUGUAAUUAAAAUUAAAGGUGGGCAUUUGAAAAGCAGCACUCUUGCUGACUAGCCAAAAAACCCUUUGCUUAUCCAGAUCGAUAUUUGAGGAGUUUGAUAUUAUGUGUAGAAUUACAGUUGAGGUGUUAGCAAUGUUAAAAGCUGUUAUGCAAAAACAUUAAAUUAUUUCGAACCAUAACUAGCUUUUAAAUAUUGUUAGUGUUAUUGGUAUAGGUGGAUCCUGCACGAGAGCUGUCAGGUAGAAAUUAAGAGAAGACAAAGUGAUGUUCGUAUAUGUAUUUUCCAGGGAAAUAUGCCUGAAGAAAUUCCAUCUUCAUGAUACUUUUAAGUUCAGCAUCUUGCUGAGGAAAGCCAGUUAGGUUUUGUGGCUUGGACAUGACAGCACCAGGAGAUUUUGGUUUCUCAUGUUUUGGUUUUAAGUGAACAACCCCCCUCUGGUACUUGAGCUUCACCCUAAUCAUGCACAUUAUUUUGUCCUCUCUGAUUGACCUGCCAUAGUUCAGUGAUAAGGAAGCAGGGAGAUCAGGUGACUUGAUCCAAAAACAAUUUCAGGCCUUGAGUAGAAAAAGUGAUUUUUUCCCCCUUUCUUUGGGUGAUUUCCUUUUCCACUAGAGACUGCAAAUGCAUUUGUCAUCCUUUGUUUUCAGCUAUAAGGUAGAAUAGUUUUGGAGUGUAUUCACAAUCUGCAAUGUAUUUUGAAACUUCAAAGAUUUUGCAAAACUACACAUAAAAAUCCCUAAUGGCUGUUCAUUUCAUUAGUGCCUAUAGAAAUUAUUGUUUUCUUGUGUCUAGAAAAAUUCUGCAAAGUGCAGUUUAAUGCAUUAUGUCUGGUUCUUUGUAACUUAACAUAACUUGUUAGUUAUGAAACUAAAAUUGCUGUACUGAACUUCCUCUGUUAUUAUGCGCCCACUGUUAUUAUGAGGAUGCAGGUAUACAGACAAUACAAAACAGUAAAUGGCAUGACACCUUGUUUGUGGAGUUAUUAAAUCUUUAUAACACAAAUCCAUUAACAUCCUCCUUGCAUUUGAAAUUUGUACCAAUAUAUCUGCUUGCAUAUAAACAUGCUA